AUUGAACGCUGGCGGCAUGCCUUACACAUGCAAGUCGAACGGUAACGCGGGGCAACCUGGCGACGAGUGGCGAACGGGUGAGUAAUGUAUCGGAACGUGCCCAGUUGUGGGGGAUAACUGCUCGAAAGAGCAGCUAAUACCGCAUACGACCUGAGGGUGAAAGCGGGGGAUCGCAAGACCUCGCGCAAUUGGAGCGGCCGAUAUCAGAUUAGGUAGUUGGUGGGGUAAAGGCUCACCAAGCCGACGAUCUGUAGCUGGUCUGAGAGGACGACCGGCCACACUGGGACUGAGACACGGCCCAGACUCCUACGGGAGGCAGCAGUGGGGAAUUUUGGACAAGGGGCGCAAGCCUGAGCCAGCCAUGCCGCGUGCGGGAAGAAGGCCUUCGGGUUGUAAACCGCUUUUGUCAGGGAAGAAACAGCAGCUCUAACACAGUCUGCGAAUGACGGUACCUGAAGAAUAAGCACCGGCUAACUACGUGCCAGCAGCCGCCGUAAUAC
rnacentral:rRNA from 1 species